AUACGGAGGGUGCAAGCGUUACUCGGAAUCACUGGGCGUAAAGCGCGCGCAGGCGGUCUUUUAAGUUGGAUGUGAAAGCCUACGGCUCAACCGUAGAACUGCAUCCAAAACUAUUAGACUAGAGUGUGGGAGAGGAAGAUGGAAUUAGUUGUGUAGGGGUAAAAUCCGAAGAGAUAACUAGGAAUACCAAAAGCGAAGGCAAUCUUCUGGAACACUACUGACGCUGAGGCGCGAAAGCGUGGGGAGCAAACAGGAUUAGAUACCCUAGUAGUCC
rnacentral:rRNA from 1 species